UGUCUCUGCCAUAAUGUCCAUAUCUGCAGCUCGGACGGCUGUACAGACAGCAAGACACGCAGAAUGUUUACUCCUGGACCAGACUAUGCUCCAAUACGUGUCUCUCGGGAAUCUCAGAAGCAAAUCCCAAUCUCAGCUAGAGGCCUCCGAGUGUCAGAGAGAAGGGUAGCCUCAUUCCUUUGCCGCAGGUUUUCUACAGACGAAGUAGGAAGGUGUGGUACAGAGAGAGAGAGCCUGGUGGGCAGAGGCACGGAAGCCCCCAAACCGUAAGUCGGGUGGCUCGUAAGGGUAUUGCGAGAACUGCCGCCAGGUGCAGGAAGGGGCAGAGGGGAACCCUGUGUACCGGGAUAAGCAAACGGAUUUCUACUGCCUUUACUUUUGGGGUUUCUGCCCACACUAGACAACAUUUUCAAAAUAUUUGGACAGAAGUAGAACGCGUUUGGCAGACAUAUGCUGCCAGUUGACGGCAGACUCCACGGGCGCUGCAGGGCGGUGCAAAGCAGGCUUUCAGGGCACGGCUGCGGGGAGAUGAAUUUGUGUACAGGGCAUGCGGGGGUGAGAUCUGUUGACUUUACGGGGCCGGCUCUCCUUGAAAAGGCUCCCUGCGCCUUGCCCUCUGCUCCUCAGGCCCUCAUUCCUGAGUCACUGAUUACGGAGUGAAUAGAAAAUCCUGGGCUGAGGAUGCCGGCUGAAUCGGGAGUGUGCUGGCCUGGUUCAAUCCCCAGCACCGAGUAAGAUGGGCACAGCGGUGCCUGUCUCCCAGCACUUGGGAACAGGGGUCGGGAAGAUCCAAGGUGAAGCUGAAGGCCAUCCUCAGCUACACAGUGAGUUGGAGGCCAGCUUGGGCUACCCAAGAUCCUAUCUUAAAAAAAAAAAAAGAAAAGAAAAUUCUGUCCAUAGGUUUUUCUCUUCAGACCACCAGGCUCCAGCCCUACUGCUGACUGGUCUCUCGAAACCUGGGAGAACUGUUCCUGUUUCCUGUUUCUGCUGUCACCUCCCUGGCUGUCCCAGCCAGGCCUGUCCCGCUUGAAGCCUGAAGCUUGUUUUCAUGCCUCAGAGGCUUUGGCCAGCGAGUUUUUUUUCUUUUCCACAGCAAAAGCACAGGGACAAAGGCGUCAUGUUUGCUUGAAGUGUGUGAGUCCCUCUGUGUCUUCUCAUGAAUUGUGUUCUGGACUUUCUCAGGAACCGCAGCACUCACGGAGAUUCCUCGAAGGCGCCCCAAGCUUCGUUCGGACGCCACACGCUGGGCCAGUGCUCCCUGACACAUGCUCCCCAUAGCCAACCCCCAGUCCCUGCUCCUCAUGGUGCCUCCAAUCCUCCCCUUUACAUUCCGUAAGACUAUUUUCAAGGUUAAAAAUGCUCUUUCUCAUCAGUGAAGGCCGACUCCUAAACUCCAUUGACAGCGCAGGCCAGGAGAGGAGAUCAGGGCAAACGGAAAGGAGGAGGGGGCUUCACACUCUGGGAAUCUGCCUCUGAGUUCAGUCAGCCUGAUCCCACUCCUGGUCAUAGUACAGGGGGUAAACUUGAGUCCACCACAGCUGCUCAUCGGAUAGGGUGGUGCCGAGCUUGAACUAAGUUACACGGAUUCCUCUGCAGCAACUGCAUCCCGAGGCUACAUGCAGUGUACGUCCCUGUGGUGCCAGAGCUCAGGAGACAGGCAGGAGGGUCACGAGAUCAAGGUGCAGCUUAGCGGGGACAUCAGGGAUCACUGCAGGGAAAGGAGGCAGCAGGAGAGUGGGGUUGCUGGCUCACGCCACAGAGGACCAGGAAGCAGGGAUGACAGAAAUCAGGCUGGGUUAUAAAUCGUCCAGGCCUGUCUCCUCGGGACCCACUCCAGCCAGGCUCCCCUGCCAAGGCUGCUGCUGCUGUUGCUACGGUCCGUCACGGAUGUCGCAGAGCAAGAAGACUCUUCUUUGGUCCAAGGAGAUGGCUUCUGCAUGAUGAGCAGCCUUUCUAAAUGGUGCUGGAAUUAGAUGCGUCACCCAGCUCUCGUGGUCCUGUAUCCUGGAGGGGGACGUUACAAUGAGAGCGGCUACAGCUGAGGUCUAGCAUCACAGAACAUUCUAGAAACAAUAUGUGCUGUUUUUCUGCUCAAGUCAGUAACUUCACCUUGGAUGUCUCUAUUGAUGGUGGUGGGGUUUUGUUUUUCUGGGUUUGUUUUGUUUUUGCUAUGUCUAGGGAUUUUUAGGAAAAACCGCAGAUUUAAUCCAGUCUUGGUCCAACUUCAGUCCCUUUCAAAUAACAUCCUUUUGGGGGAAGUCAGGUUUUGUUCAUGAAUGUUAUAUUGCAGUGCUAACUUUGUAUGGCUGUAAAUGGAAAGAGACUUCGUUUAACAAGAGAGUGGCGUUCUGGAAAGUGCUUGAAAUUGUUUCCAGCUUCUGCUAUGAUGAGACUAGUGAUGUCGAUUCAAGGCUAUCCGACUUCUGUUCCCAAGAUAUUCUGUUCUUCUAUUUCAUAACAAAACAGCAUCCACCAUGGGAAAUGUGACCUCUGAUGUACCUGUUAGUGCUCAAAGAUGAGCUGUGCCCUAUUUCUUGUUUGGAGACAGAUAUCUCCUCCCACUUUAGAAUCACUAAGUGAGUCUCUCUUUGGACCCGAGAGGGCUAAACUAAAGCUUUGUGCAUUUCCAUCUUU